CUUCAAUUUUGCUAUGUUUGUUGUCAGGCCUGCACAUGCAUGUUUUGUUUAUGGGUACAAUCCUGCAAAAAAGAACUGACUAGUGAUUGAUUAGGUAUAUUGUAUUAAAGUAAAUGGCACAAUGCACAAAAUUAAAGUAACACAUUUGAUGUUAAAUUUACUCUAGUCUAUAGACAACACAUUUUAACAUAUUUCCAAAUUAGCUAUAAAUUGGUAAAGGCAGAUUAUGGUUAAGAUUAUGAAAGCAUUUUUUUAGACUUGGAGGUUUGUUAAGUGAUUAUUUUCUUUCUUUUAAUUGUAUGAAGACAAUAAUGUUUGCAGUGUUUGCUGAAAGUGAGUUUUAAAGGGGUCAUGACAUGUGAUUAUUUUAUUAUGUCCUCUGAGGUGUAGCUUACUUAUUAAGAUUUUUAAAUGGAAAAUGUAAGUAAUUAUAACCUUUUCCCACUGUGUUUUUCAUCCCCUGAUUGAAACCGAUUUGCGUGUUCGGCCUGGCUCUGUGUCCCGCCCCUUUCUAUGAUUGACAGACUUCAUGCUUAAAUGCUUUCGUUAUUGAUAAGAACGGAGUUUUAAACAAUGAAACUUGACAGAUGUAUAAAUGAUACCAAGACCUUUUAUAUGUCAAUAUAUGAAGACAAAAUUGAUUCCUAAUGUCAUGACCCCUUUAAAAAUAGUUAAAAGGGUAGAAAAACUAGUUUAAGCUGUCAUUUAUAAAGGAAAUUGAUGUAGGAGGUGAUGAGAAGACAAGACAAGUACCAUCUUGUAGAUGUAUUAUGAUAUAGUCAAGGGCAAACAGGAUAAAGAACAGGAUGGUCCCUUUUAUAAACAAGAUGUGAAUGUGUUGGGCUGGACUCAAAUGGGAUCUUUCAUAUGAAGAUGCAGUGUUAUGGUAUGCAGGGGUGAAAAGAAAAACUAUCUGUGCCUAACCUUAAUAUAUAUGCUUUUGUAAUACUGUAAAUUAUUUGUUUCUAAAUUGUGUUAUUUCUUACAAUUACAUCAUUUCUUUACAAUCUAUCACCCAUGCAUAGCCAUGCAAAAGUGUUUUAUUUCCGUGUGACACUGAGAUGCUUGAAUAUUCAAUGUAAGUAAAUAUAUACUGGUUAUACAACAGUAUCAUGCUUGAAUUCUUUCAUAUGAAAAAUAUUUUGUUUAAUUACAGUAAUAGCAAUUUGUUGUGUAUGGAAGUAGACUGAAGACGUAUGGCAUAUGCAGUAACAGACAUCACAUAUCACAUAGAGUAAGUGUUUGCCAAAGACUUGCCAAAACCAGUAUAUCAAUAGUGAAGAUUAUUGACAUGAUAUUCAAGCAUUUCUCAGUCCUUAAGGAACCUUGUUUUGAAUAUUUGUACAUAAUCGUAUAAUGUCUUAUGUUGUUUGAACAAUUAGAUAUGUGUAGCCUCUGACCUCCUUUUAUUUUUUACCCUUGUAGUUGGAGUCACCAAGUGUAAAUUGCAUUUUAAAAUCCAUUACAAUUAAGAAUGUAAUUGGUUAUUCAAUUGUCACAAAGUCAAACUUUAGAUUUAUAUGGAUAUGGAUGUAGUAUUUGGAAAUCUAUUGCCUAAAUUUGCCUAAAUGAUAAAAAUGCUCACACUUGGACUCCAAACUAAAGGAUUCAGAAUAAUGUUGUAUGGAUGUGCUUCUCUCAUGAUACGUGGAGGACAUGUUACAAGUGGAGUGAUCAUGUCAAGAAGCAAAUCAUCUGUGUUUUUCUUCUGACCUUAUUCCUGAACUAACAACCUUUAAGCAGAAUUCACACUGUAAAUGAAAUAUCCUGAUAUAACCUGUUUAAUUGAAUGAAAUGUAGUUGCAUACACAGUCCUCUCAUCUAAUAUGAUGUUUUAUAAAUGUAACAAGAAGAGAACAUUUGCCCACAUUUAUAUCCACAUGCAAUUUGUUCUUAAGCUUCAAAAAGCGAAUAAAUUGCCUUUUAUUUUGCAUUUCUGUAGGCUAGCACAACAAAACCUAAAAAAAAAUGCAUGCAACUAUACAAUAUACAGGUGCUGCUAUAUAAUUCUAUAAUUAUACAGUAAAGUAUUUAAAUUACAGCUAAUGCUUUGUACCAUUGCACUUUUAAAGAGUGGUUUAUUUUUCGGCAAACUGCAGUAAUGCCACAGUAAAAAAUUUAAAGAUGAAAAGCAGCAUUAGUCAACAUCCGAUUUUGAGUGGAAUGCAUCUAAAAAGGUUUCUUUGGACUAUGGUCCAUCAUGUACCCACCCUGUGUCCACCCUUCAUCCUCCCAGCUGUAGUUCUGUAGACAGCUGUUGUUCUGUGUGAAUGUGGUUUAAUUCCAGUUGAAAGUGAGAAUCCUUAUGCCCUAUUCCCGCUGAAGGGCAGAGCACUCGAAGCAUUUUCCUUUCAUAUUCGGCCAUUUGGUACACAAAGACAUUACUGUUACUUUUAUUAAUUAAGAAAACUUAUGCCAAUACACUCUAAAAAUGCUGCAGCGUUGCAUCAAAAAGGGACGAACCCAGCCUGUUUGGUUGUAAUUUAACCUAUGCUGGGUUGAUUUAACCCAUUGCUGAAUCAAACAUAAACAUUUUCUGGGUUAAUCUAACCCAUCGGUAGUGUUGGGUGAUAUGCCCAAUUUUGAGAUCGUCAGCCUGUGAGAUUGGCGAUACACGAUAGUAUUCAUUUUUUACUCGUUAUGACAAGACACUUGAUUGGUGGACAAAAAAGAACAAGAGCAACACUGUCAUGACCGCAACCUUCUUAAAACUAAUGGCAUUAUUCAGAGUAUUUUUAUUUAUUAUUAAUGACUGUAAAAACAUGCACCUGCGCACACACACGCGCGCGCACAUACAAACAAUUCAAUGCAUUUGUUUAGUGCUGUUGCAGAAGGCUACAUGUGUCAAGCAGUUCUCAGCUUUUUAAACACAUCGGUCCAGCGGAAUGCUUUUUAUAUUUUUAACACAAUAAUAUUUUAAACAUGAGGGGUGUAUUGCUACAACUCCUUGAAAUGCAUAUCAUAAACAGGAUUACUACCUAAUGAUCUGACGUUGGACAGAGCGCAGCUCUCUGCACGUACGCGAGAGUGAGAGAGGGAUAGUUUGCCUCUGCUCGCAUGAAAUGCAUUAAACUGAACAAAUACAUAAGGAUUACUACUUUAGUUUAUGUUUAGACUUCGGACAGAUGCGAGAGCGAGUGCAUGUGAAACAGAGAGAAGCGCAGCUGCUCAUGACGCGCUGGAUUUAUUUCAGGUGCAAGUCCAAGACACGCGCUUUAAGUGCAGGUGCGUGCAAGAAAGAAUCCUCUCUCUACAAGCUCUCCACGUAAAGUGAAGCCCUCAAACCCUCAUGCGAGGAAAAGCAUGUAAUGUGCAUGUUAAUGUAAAACUCAGAUGAUAAUAAUAAUAACCAUUCGUCAACUAUCGUCAUGACUAUCACCAUGAAAUCCUGCCAUUGGCGAUAUGUCUGAAAUCCUGCCAAUACUAUUGUCUAUCGGCACAACCCUACCCAUCGGCUGGACUCGGUCCCUUUUUGACCCAACGCUGGGUAAAUAAUAACCCAGCAUUUUUUAAAGUGCAGCUGUUAUGGUUGCUUGCUUUAGUAUCAUGUAUAAUUCCUCCCAGGGUCUUAAAUGUAUAUUUUUUCAACCUUGCCUAAACUGACUUUUCACAUGAUGUUUGUUAACUCAUUCCCCGCCAGCCAUUAUUGAAAAGUUGCCCACCAGCAAUUUUUUGUGAUUUUCACAAAAGUUUCACAAAAUGCCUGCAAGGAAAAUUUUCUUCAAAAAAUAUAUAAACAUACAAAUAUAUCAAAUGAAAGAACUGACCUUUGCUUUAAAAUAAACAAUUAAACAAACAAACUAAACAGGUAAAAAGUUUCAUCCUAUCUAUAUUUUUUUUUCUCUGCUUAUAAACUCUUAAAUAUGGGUAUUUUUCUUAAAAAAUAUUUUUUUUUUAGCAAAAAGCUGAAAUAAUUGCAUUUUUGUGAAGGAAUUUUGUUAGAGAUCAGAUUAUCAAAACAUACACAGAGUUUAAAAUUGGUAAAUAAAGUUUUGGCUUCAGUUUUUUCAUAAAUUGGGUAAGUGUGUCAUCUAGUAGAUAAUUGCAGUAUUGCAGAUUAACAUACAAAUCCAUCAGGAACAUUUUUAAUGCAAAUGUUUUCUCUUAAUUAACAAGAUAACUCAUCAAUGGCGGGAAAAGAGUUAAAUUAUUAUACACUGACUCUAAAGAUGCUGGGUUAUUUCCAAGCCAGUGUUGGGUCAAAAAGGGACAAACACAGCCCAUUGGGUUGUAAUUUAACCUAUGCUGCUUUGUUUCAACCCAUAAUGCUGGGUUGAUUUAACCCAUAAUGCUGGGUUGAUUUAACCCAUAAUGCUGGGUUGUUUUUAACCAUUGUUGGGUCAAAUAUAAAAAAUUUCUGGGUUAAUUUAACCCAACAGCUGGGUUUGUCCUUUUUGACUCAACACUGGCUUAAAAAUAACCCAGCAUUUUUUAGAGUGUAUGUAACAAAUAUAUUGUCUAAAUAGGUAAUAUUUAGGCCCCAGUUUAAAAUCCCAGCUAUGAUAAAUAAAUUAUGGGUUUUAUUUAUGAUCACAUAACCCCUGCAGGGUCAUGUGCUCAUAAAUGUCAAAAGAAUGUCCUUGAAGUGACCGUCAUAUGACAACCUUGUAGAAACACCCUUCGUGCCAGAAAUCUUUUGCUCACUUUCGACUGGAAUGACCCAAUGAAUAGCCUUCCCUUCUCACAGCGCCUUUCAAGGGCGCAAAAAGUCCAUUUGGAAUUCUUCCCUCCCGGGGUGCUGGACUAACAUUCUUGGUAGAUGAGAAAGGUUCAGUCCUCCCUCCCCCAUUUACACCUGCUCUUCCCUCCCUUGAGGUUGGUGCUGAGAUGUGUUGAUGUUGAGGACAUACAGCAGUCGAGCGAGAGUGCUGACAGAUGAAGAAAGCUGUCACUGAGGGGCCAUCUCAGCCGACUCAGGGGGCCCCGGGGCCUCCAUAAAGGGGUGCUUGUGGGUUCCAACUGAGGCUAAAGGUCCCAUUAGUUUGUGUGUCUUAAAUUAUAUGGGAUUUAAUGCUUCAGCCGAGAACGUCAAGGAGAGGCAAUGUUAAAAGGGCAAGGGUAAGGUUCUUGCAGUAUGUUGGGGUUUUUGAUGCAUCUGCAGGGGUCCCCUAAUGCUCUACAUCGCCCAUAUGUUUUGUCUGUUGUUCUGUCUCUUUCAAACCACAACGUUUUUCCACAGGUGUAAAGAAGCGAGAUUCAAAAACUAACCGAGAGCGAAAUCCCAGGUUUUUCCUGUGCUUCUAAACCCUUAUCUGUACCUGUAACCAAUACUAAACAUGAGUCUCUCUCUCUCCUUCUUGGGGCUAUAUACAUGUAUAAAUGCAGUGUUAUAUAUGUAUAUACCCAUCCAAACUGUUGUGUAUGUGUUUCAACCAACGUUCCAGGAGCUCUAAAGAGGCCUUCUCUUCCUCAAGAGCUUUCUCCCGUCUAACAGUAUGGAUCCUGUUUUGCUUCUCUG